UACGUAGGGUGCAAGCGUUAAUCGGAAUUACUGGGCGUAAAGCGUGCGCAGGCGGUUAUGCAAGACAGAUGUGAAAUCCCCGGGCCCAACCUGGGAACUGCAUUUGUGACUGCAUGGCUAGAGUACGGUAGAGGGGGAUGGAAUUCCGCGUGUAGCAGUGAAAUGCGUAGAUAUGCGGAGGAACACCGAUGGCGAAGGCAAUCCCCUGGACCUGUACUGACGCUCAUGCACGAAAGCGUGGGGAGCAAACAGG
rnacentral:rRNA from 1 species